rfam:Schistosoma margrebowiei strain Zambia genome assembly, scaffold: SMRZ_contig0001401
GCACUGCUGAGGAGUCCCGCGAUAGGACGAAACGGCCGUCCAGUGC